rnacentral:rRNA from 1 species
UACGAAGGGGGCUAGCGUUGUUCGGAAUUACUGGGCGUAAAGCGCGCGAAGGCGGCUCUUCAAGUCAGGGGUGAAAGCCCAGAGCUCAACUCUGGAACUGCCUUUGAGACUGAAGAGCUUGAGUACGGGAGAGGUGAGUGGAAUUCCCAGUGUAGAGGUGAAAUUCGUAGAUAUUGGGAAGAACACCGGUGGCGAAGGCGGCUCACUGGCCCGUUACUGACGCUCAGGCGCGACAGCGUGGGGAUCAAGCAGG